UAUAUCGAGCAAUAUGUGAGUUUUCUAAAUGAAAAUGAGAAAGCUUAUUUUACCUUACUUUACGGUGCAUUACAUGGAUGAAAUUGUGUAAAAACUUGUUCUAGAACCCAGAUGACUAAAAAUCUUAUGAACCUGAAGGUAUUUCCCCGGCUUUGAUUUUAGCAAAUUUCCAGAGUAUGAAAUUUUCAGUUACACCCAAACUUAGCCUUUCCUUAUUUGUUUAAUUUAGUCGUUCAGCAAUGAAAAAAGCGCCAAAUAAAAUAAAACUGAAAUAUUAAUAAUGGUAAAACAAAAAAAUCACCAACAAAAAUCACCGAAAUUAUUUCUUUUUAAUAAAAGUAUAUCCACAUACAGAAACACAAGUUCACAGCUAAAAUUAUGCUUAAAAAUAAAUGUUAUAUAAUUGAAUCACAAUGACAACCGAAAUUAUGUUAAAGAAAUUUGUGUUAAUGACGGCAGUUCUAAAUAAAAUUUGUUACUUUUAUAUUUUAUACUGGCAUUUGUAGAGUUUGUAGAGAAACGAAAAUGGCUGUUAAAGUGAGGGCAUUAAUUCUAAUACCUUAAAAAAGUGGUCAAGGCGUUGGCAGUUAAAAGCCUUUCAGAUUUAGACAACGAAGUUUGCAAAAUUUCUUAUGAAAAACCCCCUACUCAUGAACUAUAUGAGGAAUGCUCUGGGAAUCUGGUUUCUAUAGCGGCACAACCUGUAACAAACAACAUUAAACCAAACUGUACUAAAAACCGAAGCCAAAGUUAGCAGAUUGGAAGCUUCUGGAAUAUCGUAGUAUUGUGGGUGAGAAAUUCAAAUGGAUUAGAGUCGAUAAAAAGAGUAUAUAUGCAGAGAAAACUAAAUGCUGAGCUACAAAAACAAAUUUGAAGAAAUUUGUUUACAGAGUUCAUCAAAAUUAUAUAUUCGGAAAAGCUUUCAAGUCUAUCUAAAUAAUAAUCUGAAACAGAAAUUUAAAAGAAAUUGCUCAUUUUAAACUAUACACAUAUUUUACGAACACUGACAAAAACGAAAGAUUUGAAAAUUUAAGAUCUGAACCCAAGUCAACUCGAAACAAGCCCAGCUAAGAGGCUACUAUACGAAAAAUUGGUGGAGUCCAUGUCGAAACAUCAAAAAAUUUGUGGCUUAAAGCGCUUUGUAUAUUUGUAAGUAUUUUGUGAUCUAUUAUAUAGGAGUUUUGGGUACCACAACAGUCCAGCGUUCUAAGUCCUCCAAGUGAGAUCCCUGUUAAAAUCGACACCUUAACCUAACCUAACUAAUGAGAACUGUCAAGGACAGUUCAGAGCAUCCCACAAAGUAUUAUUUAACCCAAAAUUUUAAUUAUGUUAAAAAAAGCAUAAUUUUCGCUGUGAAGUCUAUUUUAAUAACGAACUUUAUUUUUGUUGUUAAUUAACAAAUUAGCUAUCACAUCUGAGCUUUUGGAGCAUAAAUUGAAACAAUAGAAUGUUACGAUAGACUUUUAUCAAA